rnacentral:rRNA from 1 species
CCUACGGGAGGCAGCAGUGAGGAAUAUUGGUCAAUGGGCGCGAGCCUGAACCAGCCAAGUAGCGUGAAUGAUGACUGCCCUACGGGUUGUAAACUUCUUUUACAAAGAAAUAAAGUGAGUCACGAGUGCCCUUUUGUAUGUACGUUAUGAAUAAGGACCGGCUCACUCCGUGCCAGCAGACGCGGUAAUACGGAGGGUCCGAUCGUUAUCCGGAUUUAUUGGGUUGAAGGGGAGCGGAGCUGGGUUGUUAAGUUAGUUGUGAAAGGUUGGGGCUCAACCGGGAAAGUGCAAUUGAUACUGGCAGGCUUGAGUCUAGUUGAGGUAGGCGGAAUUCGUGGUGUAGCGGUGAAAUGCUUAGAUAUCAGGAAGAACUCCGAUUGCGAAGGCAGCCUGCUGGACUGUAACUGACGCUGAUGUUCGAAAGUGUGGGUAUCAAACAGGAUUAGAUACCCGGGUAGUC